UUACGGUCAAAUCACGUUGAAAACACCGGUUCUCGUUCGAUCACCGAAGUUAAGCAUCGUAGAGCCAGGUCAGUACUUAGAUGGGGACCGCUUGGGAACACCUGGUACUGUAA